rnacentral:rRNA from 1 species
GACGAACGCUGGCGGCGUGCUUAACACAUGCAAGUCGAACGAUGAAGCCUAGCUUGCUAGGUGGAUUAGUGGCGAACGGGUGAGUAAUACGUGAGUAACCUACCUUUAACUCUGGGAUAAGCCCGGGAAACUGGGUCUAAUACCGGAUACGACCAAUCUCCGCAUGGGGUGUUGGUGGAAAGCGUUAUGUAGUGGUUAUAGAUGGGCUCACGGCCUAUCAGCUUGUUGGUGAGGUAACGGCUCACCAAGGCGACGACGGGUAGCCGGCCUGAGAGGGUGAGCGGCCACACUGGGACUGAGACACGGCCCAGACGCCUACGGGAGGCAGCAGUGGGGAAUAUUGCACAAUGGGCGCAAGCCUGAUGCAGCGACGCCGCGUGAGGGAUGACGGCCUUCGGGUUGUAAACCUCUGUUAGCAGGGAAGAAGAGAGAUUGACGGUACCUGCAGAGAAAGCGCCGGCUAACUACGU